rnacentral:rRNA from 1 species
AACGAACGCUGGCGGCAUGCCUAACACAUGCAAGUCGAACGAGACCUUCGGGUCUAGUGGCGCACGGGUGCGUAACGCGUGGGAACCUGCCCUUAGGUUCGGAAUAACUCCCCGAAAGGGGUGCUAAUACCGGAUAAUGUCUUCGGACCAAAGAUUUAUCGCCUUUGGAUGGGCCCGCGUUGGAUUAGCUAGUUGGUAGGGUAAAAGCCUACCAAGGCGACGAUCCAUAGCUGGUCUGAGAGGAUGAUCAGCCACACUGGGACUGAGACACGGCCCAGACUCCUACGGGAGGCGGAGGGGGGAAGAUUGGAAAAUGGGCGAAAGCCUGAUCCAGCAAGGCCGCGUGAGGGAUGAAGGCCUUAGGGUUGUAAAGCCCUUUUAACCGGGAUGAUAAUGACAGUACCCGGAGAAUAAGCUCCGGCUAACUCCGUG